rnacentral:rRNA from 1 species
CGGUGGCAAUGGCAAGAAGGAUAUACGUGUUCUCAUCCAGAUCACAGUAGCUAAGCUUCUCUACGCCGAAAGUAGUUGGUGCGAAACUGCCUGCGAGGAUAGGGAACUUCCGCACG